rnacentral:rRNA from 1 species
GAUGAACGCUGGCGGCGUGCCUAAUACAUGCAAGUCGAGCGAACAGACGAGGAGCUUGCUCCUCUGACGUUAGCGGCGGACGGGUGAGUAACACGUGGAUAACCUACCUAUAAGACUGGGAUAACUUCGGGAAACCGGAGCUAAUACCGGAUAAUAUAUUGAACCGCAUGGUUCAAUAGUGAAAGACGGUUUUGCUGUCACUUAUAGAUGGAUCCGCGCCGCAUUAGCUAGUUGGUAAGGUAACGGCUUACCAAGGCGACGAUGCGUAGCCGACCUGAGAGGGUGAUCGGCCACACUGGAACUGAGACACGGUCCAGACUCCUACGGGAGGCAGCAGUAGGGAAUCUGCCGCAAUGGGCGAAAGCCUGACGGAGCAACGCCGCGUGAGUGAUGAAGGUCUUCGGAUCGUAAAACUCUGUUAUUAGGGAAGAACAAAUGUGUAAGUAACUAUGCACGUCUUGACGGUACCUAAGCAGAAAGCCACGGCUAACUACGU